rnacentral:lncRNA from 1 species
GCGCUAACCUAUACGAGGACAUUCUGUUUUGGAAAGAACCAAAAUAUCUAAACAAACAUUGAAAGUGCAACUAUUAAUCAAUCAGCUCUACUUUUCUCGAUUAAUUUCGGGAGUGUCAGCAAAGAUUGGGGUCAUUAACCCCAUCGGGUACAUGUGAUCUGCAAUAAAUCCAUGGAACAAUAUGUUACUACUGAAACACGAAAUAAUUGAAAUCUUAGAUUCAUGUCUUCGCACCCAUCCUUCCUUCUUUGUUGUCUACUCAAAUCAACAAUAAAAUCGACGAACACAGAGAUUAAUUAAAAGAAUAAAAGCUUACAAAACCAUAAAUAAUGUACAAUAUAACAAGAUUAACCACCCAGACAAGCGCAAUAGCACACAUAUGCAUAUAAUCUCGUAAAAUAAAUUCAUGAUCUAUGAAGAAAUUAUUGAUUUUCUUGAGUACUAACAUAAUUAUACUGCAUAAAAAUGUAAUUUCCAGACACCAGAGGAAACUUCAUUGAAUUCUUACUAAAAGGGAACCUGGGACGCAAACAGAGAGGGAAUACAUACACUAGAAAAGGAUAUCUAAUACUAUAAUUCAACUUCUUCUAAAAGCUAGCUUUAAUUCUAUUUUUCAUGUUCCCGAAGGCACAGUAGAAGCAUUAAAAUUGUUACAUAUCGUUACACAUUGAGAAGCCUCCCCGAGAAUCAAUAUUGUGAAUCAUUUUUUUUUGCAAAACAAUAAUUUGGAAAGUUGAAUGGAGUAAGUUUCUGCAUAUUUAAGCAACGACAAUAGAUGAUCAACUUACGGACUACUCAGUAUUAGUCAUCAAGUAUGGAAUAAACUAUACGUAAGAUGAAAGACAAGAUUGUACAGAAAACCAGAAUAAGGCUAAUGGAAUCAUAGGAACAGCAGUGAAAAUGGAAAGAUGGAAACAGGCAAACGUAAACGAAUAGAAUCGUGAUAAUGACAUAGCUAAUCUCAUCCCAACAAAACAUUGUACAAUCUCUGAAGCACAAUUGCACAAUGUACAAUACAAAAGUGUCACAGAACGUUAAAUUCAGUGUAAGCAGAUAUGAAAUCGAGCAAUGAUGCCUCUUUUUUUUUUUUUUUUUCCUAUCAAGGAUACGAGGAAAUUAUAGUAUGCCAUUGUCAAGAGAUAGAGCCAUUUCAAUAUAAGACAGAUUUCAAUUAAAACAAUAUCAUUGAGAUAUAACUGGAUAUCGAUUAUGAGAAAAAUGGUUUAUGGUUCUUGAACCACUAAUCUAAUUACAACUUUGUUCUUAACCUAAUUUUUUGCAACACUGUUGGAUUUGUUGUGUCCAGCCGCAUUUUCAUCAUUUCUUC